rnacentral:rRNA from 1 species
GAUCAUUCAAAUUUCUGCCCUAUCAGCUUUUCGACGGUAGUGUAGUGGACUACCGUGGCGUUAACGGGUAACGGGGAAUUAGGGUUCGAUUCCGGAGAGGGAGCCUGAGAAAACGGCUACCACAUCCAAGGAAGGCAGCAGGCGCGCAAAAUUACCCAAUCCUGACACAGGGGAGGUAGUGACAAAAAAUACAAUACCUGGCCUCAAUAGGUCGGGUAAUUGGAAUGAGUACAAUUUAAAUCCCUUAACGAGGAUCAAUUGGAGGGCAAGUCUGGUGCCAGCAGCCGCGGUAAUUCCAGCUCCAAGAGCAUAUAUUAAAGUUGUUGCAGUUAAAAAGUCUCGUAGUUGAAUAUCUGGUAUAACGUACCUGGCCCGCAGCCUUUAGGCUUGUGUGUGCCGGCGCACGUUUUGCCAUCUUUCUAGAAAACGGGUCUGCCAUUAACUUGGUGGUUCGGGAUCUAGAUCAUUUACUUUGAAAAAAUUAGAGUGUUUAAAGCAAGCAAUUGCUCUGAAUACAUUAGCAUGGAAUAAUAAU